ensembl:snRNA LOC120098411 U2 spliceosomal RNA
AUCGCUUCUCGGCCUUUUGGCUAAGAUCAAGUGUAGUCCUUUUUCAGCACCUAACAAUUUUAUGUAUCACUGUAAGGUGAAGAUUUUUUUAAAUGAAAAUAAAUAUUUUAUUGGUUUUUUCUUUUCUCCAUCU